UUCUACAGGCUUAACACAUGCAAGUCGAGGGGCAGCAUUUUAGUUUGCUUGCAAACUGAAGAUGGCGACCGGCGCACGGGUGAGUAACACGUAUCCAACCUGCCGAUAACUCCGGGAUAGCCUUUCGAAAGAAAGAUUAAUACCGGAUAGCAUACGAAUAUCGCAUGAUAUUUUUAUUAAAGAAUUUCGGUUAUCGAUGGGGAUGCGUUCCAUUAGUUUGUUGGCGGGGUAACGGCCCACCAAGACUACGAUGGAUAGGGGUUCUGAGAGGAAGGUCCCCCACAUUGGAACUGAGACACGGUCCAAACUCCUACGGGAGGCAGCAGUGAGGAAUAUUGGUCAAUGGGCGAGAGCCUGAACCAGCCAAGUAGCGUGAAGGAUGAAGGCUCUAUGGGUCGUAAACUUCUUUUAUAUGGGAAUAAAGUUUUCCACGUGUGGAAUUUUGUAUGUACCAUAUGAAUAAGGAUCGGCUAACUCCGUGCCAGCAGCCGCGGUAAUACGGAGGAUCCGAGCGUUAUCCGGAUUUAUUGGGUUUAAAGGGAGCGUAGGUGGAUUGUUAAGUCAGUUGUGAAAGUUUGCGGCUCAACCGUAAAAUUGCAGUUGAAACUGGCAGUCUUGAGUACAGUAGAGGUGGGCGGAAUUCGUGGUGUAGCGGUGAAAUGCUUAGAUAUCACGAAGAACUCCGAUUGCGAAGGCAGCUCACUAGACUGUCACUGACACUGAUGCUCGAAAGUGUGGGUAUCAAACAGGAUUAGAUACCCUGGUAGUCCACACAGUAAACGAUGAAUACUCGCUGUUUGCGAUAUACAGUAAGCGGCCAAGCGAAAGCAUUAAGUAUUCCACCUGGGGAGUACGCCGGCAACGGUGAAACUCAAAGGAAUUGACGGGGGCCCGCACAAGCGGAGGAACAUGUGGUUUAAUUCGAUGAUACGCGAGGAACCUUACCCGGGCUUAAAUUGCAACAGAAUAUAUUGGAAACAGUAUAGCCGUAAGGCUGUUGUGAAGGUGCUGCAUGGUUGUCGUCAGCUCGUGCCGUGAGGUGUCGGCUUAAGUGCCAUAACGAGCGCAACCCUUAUCUUUAGUUACUAACAGGUUAUGCUGAGGACUCUAGAGAGACUGCCGUCGUAAGAUGUGAGGAAGGUGGGGAUGACGUCAAAUCAGCACGGCCCUUACGUCCGGGGCUACACACGUGUUACAAUGGGGGGUACAGAAGGCGGCUACCUGGUGACAGGAUGCUAAUCCCAAAAACCUCUCUCAGUUCGGAUCGAAGUCUGCAACCCGACUUCGUGAAGCUGGAUUCGCUAGUAAUCGCGCAUCAGCCAUGGCGCGGUGAAUACGUUCCCGGGCCUUGUACACACCGCCCGUCAAGCCAUGAAAGCCGGGGGUACCUGAAGUACGUAACCGCAAGGAGCGUCCUAGGGUAAAACUGGUAAUUGGGGC
rnacentral:rRNA from 1 species